GUGCUUGCUUCAGCAGCACAUAUACUAAAAAUGGAACAAUACAGAGAAGAUUAGCAUAGCCCCUGUGCAAGGAUGACAUGCAAAUUUGUGAAGUGUUCCGUAUUUUU